GCACGCUUAGGCGUGUGACUGCGUACCUUUUGUAUAAUGGGUCAGCGACUUAUAUUCUGUAGCAAGGUUAACCGAAUAGGGGAGCCGAAGGGAAACCGAGUCUUAACUGGGCGUUAAGUUGCAGGGUAUAGACCCGAAACCCGGUGAUCUAGCCAUGGGCAGGUUGAAGGUUGGGUAACACUAACUGGAGGACCGAACCGACUAAUGUUGAAAAAUUAGCGGAUGACUUGUGGCUGGGGGUGAAAGGCCAAUCAAACCGGGAGAUAGCUGGUUCUCCCCGAAAGCUAUUUAGGUAGCGCCUCGUGAAUUCAUCUCCGGGGGUAGAGCACUGUUUCGGCAAGGGGGUCAUCCCGA
rnacentral:rRNA from 1 species